rnacentral:tRNA from 1 species
AAAAAGAAGGUGUAAAAAAUUUGGCACGCAGGUUUUUGGUUCCUGAGGAAUCACUUCGAUUGUGUUUCUUUUUA